GGUACGACCGCUAUUAGUUAGCCUCGUUUUGAGUUAUGUGCGUCUGUGGCGAUGGCUUUAGGUGGUGCUGAAUGUGACGUCGCGAAACACCAGAUAGUCCAAGUUUUCUUGCUUUUUCCAUAGAUUAGUGUCUGCGAGACGAACAACGUUACCAUUAUCCUGAAGGCUACCUGUGUAGGCACGUACUUUGAAUGUAGCUAUCUAGUGUAAACAACUUCAGUAGUCUGCAACACUAACGUAUUAUGCGAGCGCCUGUGCUAUUUUAGGUAGACGCUGUAUUGUGUAGCGCAUCGGCCACGCGAGACGUAAAUACCAUUCGUUGCAUGAUUAUAUGCGCUUAGUUGCUUCUGAUUUCGACGUUGGAAUCGCACACUGGUCCUGCGCUACUGGUCGAAAUCUCUUCCAUUGAACAAACAAUCUGUUGCGUUCGCUAAACCUUGUCCUAGCAAGGCAAAGAAGGCCAGCAGCAGCAGGGAAAGCGAGUCCCAUAGUGACGUUCGGCAACGAAGACGAACAAAUAAAGGGUGCAAGUAAAAGGAUACAUACGAUGAACGCGCAAUAGUAAUAAUGGAGUGCUUACUAGUAUUGGCGCUCUGCAUAUGCUGAUUAGGACGUUUGGCGCACCUGUAGUGGCAACACGAGUUUCAACAACAAUAACAGGUUAUUCGAACACGACGAGUAUUGUGUGCUAUCGAUGAAUCUGUGCGGUGGCUUGUUCAACUUGUACGUUCUUCGCCAUACAACAUCAAUGUCUUGUCCAUAGGAGGAAACGUAAAAGUGUAAGAGCAUUACUGUUUCCACUUAAAGAUGGUUAGACAGUUCCCUAGUUGAAAUCGUGACCGAAAGGAUUAAUUGACUGUUACGCUCCGUCAGACAGAAUACAUUGCCCGCUUGCGAGACAAACGUUUUACUAGGCAGUACUGAUUUUGCUUUGAAGACAUUAUGCUUUGAAUUUGUGAUCUUAGUUGUGUAGAUUUUGCGAUACAGGCGAAUCGAAGCCGCCUCGGAUCUGUUGAAGCCUUCAACUGGUGCGGGAUAAGCCAGAAAGAAACCAUGAGGAACGGAGUUGUUUCUAUGGGGUCCUUGGGCCGUACCCCGAUAACUUUGCGGGGCUUUACCUCCCCACCACCAGGAGUUAACCAAAACGUACGGCCUAGUGUUCAGCUUCUUCAGAUCCUCAGAACUGUCCAGAUAUCGUCGUACUCAUCGAAGGGCGCCUUAGACAUGAAGGACGGUGGCAAAGGCGGGGGCCUGGCCCCGCCGGGCAGUCUCGCCGCCGCUGGCGGUGGAGGAGGAGGAGGAGGAGGCGUUGGUGGUGGGGUCGGAGGUGGGGCCGGAGUGAAAAAAUACGCCAACGGGGGCGGUGGGCUCGGUGGAGCACCCCUCGCCGGAUCGGGUUCAACGAAUCCCCGGGACACAGGCGGCAACACGUCGCCAACGCACGUGAAACGCGAACGCCGACAGAGUUCGUCCAGAUUCAACCUGACUACCAAUAGGGAACUUGUGGAUCUGCCCACCAUCAAAGAUGCUGCUCCAGAGGAGCGUGAAGCGCUCCUGAUUAAGAAGAUGCAACAGUGCUGUGUGAUCUUCGAUUUCGUCAGUGAUCCCCUGUCCGACAUCAAAUGGAAGGAGGUCAAGAGGGCAGCGCUUCAUGAAAUGCUAGACUACCUGAGUACACAACGAGGAGCGAUCACCGAACCGGUCUAUGGCGAGAUAACGCGCAUGUUUGCCACGAACGUGUUCCGGACGCUGCCACCGUCAAGUAAUCCAAAUGGCGCUGAGUUUGACCCUGAAGAGGAUGAGCCUACACUUGAGGCAGCCUGGCCGCAUCUCCAGCUUGUUUAUGAACUCUUUCUCAGGUUCCUUGAAUCAGCAAACUUCCAGCCGACGCUCGCCAAAAGGUGCAUUGAUCAUCGGUUUGUUCUGCAGCUGCUCGAGCUCUUCGAUAGCGAAGACCCGCGCGAGCGUGACUUUCUAAAGACAACACUGCACCGCAUCUACGGCAAGUUCCUGUCUCUUCGCGGCUACAUUCGCAAACAGAUCAACAACAUCUUCUACCGAUUCAUCUAUGAGACAGAGCGGCACAACGGGGUCGCCGAGCUGUUGGAGAUUCUCGGCUCCAUCAUCAAUGGUUUCGCGCUACCACUGAAAGAAGAGCACAAAGUAUUCCUUCUAAAAGUUCUCAUGCCGUUACACAAGGUCAAAUCACUAUCAGUUUACCAUCCUCAGCUGGCAUAUUGUGUUGUACAAUUCCUCGAGAAAGAUCCCUCGCUGACGAAGCCGGUCAUCUUAUCGCUACUCAAAUUCUGGCCAAAGGUGCACAGUCCUAAGGAGGUGAUGUUUCUGAAUGAGCUAGAGGAGAUCUUGGACGUCAUCGAACCGGCAGAGUUUCAAAAAAUUCAGGUCCCACUUUUCAAACAGCUGGCACGCUGUGUCAGUUCGCCACACUUUCAGGUGGCCGAAAGGGCCUUGUACUACUGUAACAAUGAAUACAUCAUGUCACUCAUCUCGGACAAUGUGCAUGAAAUAUUGCCUAUUAUGUUUCCCGCGCUGUACAAAAACCGAGAAAGUCAUUGGAACAAGACGAUCUAUGGGCUUAUUUACGGAGCCUUGAAGCAGUUCAUGGAGAUUAACCAAACGCUGUUCAACGAGUGUGUGAAGAAGUUUGAGGAGGAGAGCGGACUCGACGAGACCAAGGAAAAGCAGCGCCAGGAAUUCUGGCAGAAAGUUCAACAGAUGGCCAUCCAGAACCCGCAGCUACCCCAGACUUCAUACGGUGCCGGGCCAAGCUGAAAGUAAACGCCACCCAAAAGCUUAUCCUACUGCAGAACGUUUUUGUAAAGGAAACUCGCGUCCCGUAAACAAAUAGACAAAUAGUUAAUUGGAUUGGCGUAGGCGGUGAUCGAGUGGGUUCCUAUUAUCGACUGGUCUAUAGUACAGGACGCAGGAAGCAUCCAGGAGGCGCGAGAAAAUUGAGGGGGUUGAGGGCAGGGCUGGUAAAACAAACAACUCGGUUUAUAAAUCGACAACACCGCAGGUGGAACGUACACUUGUGCAAGGUGCCGCGCGUGCCCAGCUGACAAAUUCGGUGUGCAUUCAGCAACAACUGCAGACUGAGGUAAUGUGAAAGCAUGACGAACCGAAAAUGUGGAUUCAGGUGGAUCGCAGAGUGGAAGGAAAAGCAAACAACAACAACAACAACAACAACAACAACAACAUCAGCAUCAACAACAACAACAACAACAACAGCAGCAGGAUUUAGGAAGACGGGUGGAUGGAAACAGAUAAGAGUUGACGAAGCAAUGCGAUGUUCGAAUCCGGCAACAUUCUCGAACGAGCUGAAAGACGCGUAGAAAACGAAACCGAUCACUGAACGACGGGUUGGCGCGUCAUAUAUUUAGAAGAGACACCACCUCACGUCGCACGACCCACGUCAUACCAGCACGGAAACAGCAUUACUGGGUCGACAGGCUAUCUAAUCGGGAAAAAGGCGAGCACCGCUAUACCUGGCGGAAGGAGGAGUAGUACUAUCGCCGUAACUAUUCUGUUUUUAAAGUCGAGUCUAUGAAGUACACUAAGACGAAACGAAACCUUACGCGAUAGGUUCAUACAGCAAUCGCUACUCUAGCGAGCCACAAUGGAUGCAUACGGAUUGUCAUGAUAUAUUAUAAAUGGAUACCAAUAUCGAAUAGAGUGGACUAGAGAAAUGUCAAGUGGCCUACAGUUGCCUACGAGCUGCCGUCGUGGACACGACACGACCUUCAGGAGACGUCGGCUAUUACCGUCAAUCAAUUAGCAGGGGGUACAAUGCCUCAGUGAAUCGCCAGUAAGCUGUAAGCCCAUAUAUGGUGGCGUAAUAGGAGGUUAGGAAACGGAUCGGGAAGGUGCGUUCACAUCCGGUGUCCUUGAACCCAGGUGAAAGCACCCAUGUCCUGGUCAGACGUUAUCGUAAGGAGCCACAGCUUAACAGCCCCGUGUAUAAAUGCGGCCAGAGCGAAUGUACAUGCGCACAGCGCAUGAUCUGGCCUCUGUGGGAUAAUGGAAAGAAAGAGCAGGUGUUGUAACGACCGGUAUUAUAGUAAAGAAUUGGAUAGUUGCUUUUUUGCAAAUCGGUUUGUCCUAGACAUUUCUGGCACAUGCUUAAUGGUAAUUAGACAAGGCCAUUUCUCUCUGAGUCUUUGGGAUAAGGAAAGCUAAAAAAGAUGUGUAUAUAGCUCCAUUACAUCGAUUUUGUGUAGCUUUCCUUGAUUUGUCUUUUGUAUGCCCCUGCCCUAGGCUCGUGACCUGUUUCGCUUUUAACGUUCUGAAUGGUAAUUUCAUUUUCCGAUCACAGAUAAACCUAAAACUAGGCACGCAGUUACGUUUGCACUUUUCCAAUUGUGCUGUACUUUUGUGUUCAAUCUGCGUUAGAGAAACGGACUGGGUUAGAGAACGGGUUGUCUUGCUAAGUCGGUAUUGGUAGGUUGGCCUUACAAGCUAUCUCUUGAAAACGGUAUGGUCAAACGAGAGUUCUGGGAGCUACCAGCUUAUCCAUCAGAUACGAAAAUUUUAUUCUACUGAUAGUCGUUGAACUAAAUUAUGAAGGGCAGUCGUUGGAGAUGAUGAAUGAAAAACCUCUGUAAAAGUAAUGCCAUCAAAAAAAAAACGUACGAAAUAGAAGCGAGAAGAUCCAUGUGAUGGGCAGCAAUGCAUACACGAUUGAUAAAAAUAUGGAGACCAGAUCAGAUGUUUACAAAACAUCUGUUGCUAAACAUUUCUUGCGGCUUUACUGAUUAAUUAGUAGGUAAUUUAAUGGGCGCAACUCGACAGAUGACGGACUUUUCUUGUUUUUGCCAUGUUUUUCUUCGUAGCUGGUCCGAAGAGCUAAGCGAUUCUUUCUACGGCAGAAACGCGUGUGCCAUCUUCAGUAUAAUGCACGUUAGGCUAGGCCUAUGAGAAGCCAAAACUUUACGGGACUAUUGAAACAAUUUUACUGUACCCGUCAGUUAGACAUCUGAUAGGGUUGCUAUAUAUUGGUUGUGGGGAUAUACAUCGAUACGUUGAAGGCGUGAAACAAUGAUGAUAGAUUCACUAAGCUAGAAGGCAGAGCUUGACGAGCGGCUUGGUAACGAAGUAGGGCCAAAAGGAAGCUGAAUGACAGAGUCGAGAAUGAACGGCGGGAAGCAGGACACUGGCGGGACGAAGCGGAUAAUAGUACUGUUUUAUGCACGGUAACGAAACUAUUCCGUGCUCGGUCGGUUAUGCCAAUUUGUGCGAAUGGUACCAUUACUACAGGACUGCUUUACUCUCCCGUAUCUGCUGGUCGGACGGUGGCAACUCAACAAAUGAUAAAGAAACAGUAACAAAACGUGACAGUGUAGAAAUGAGUGCUAAAUAGAGAAGUCAAAUGGAAAACGAGGAGAAUUGGUGAUCAGACAACG